CCCAGUUCGGAUUGUAGUCUGCAACCCGACUACAUGAAGCUGGAAUCGCUAGUAAUCGCGGAUCAGAAUGCCGCGGUGAAUACGUUCCCGGGUCUUGUACACACCGCCCGUCACACCAUGGGAGUCGGAAAUGCCCGAAGUCUGUGACCCAACCUACGGGAGGGAGCAGCCGAAGGCAGGUCGGAUGACUGGGGUGAAGUCGUAACAAGGUAAC
rnacentral:rRNA from 1 species